rnacentral:lncRNA from 1 species
GAGGAGCUACUACAUUGAGGGACUACUUUGGCCCUAAACCAAGAAGCACAAAAGUCGUGACUCGGGAAUUAGUUAGUAGAAACAUGGAAAAAGUGCAAGUCGAAUUAGAGGAGCGAAUGGGAGAACGCUUAAGAACGCUCGAAUGAGAACUUGCGAUUAUCAAACUACAACAACAACAACAACAGUCACAACAGGAGGACGCCCCUACAGAUGAUCCUACCCCACCUUUUGUUCGGGCAAAUGAACAAG